GCUCAGGAUGAACGCUGGCGGCGUGCCUAAUACAUGCAAGUCGAACGGAGGCGUUAGCAAUAGCGCCUUAGUGGCGAACGGGUGAGUAACGCGUUGGUGACCUGCCCCAAAGUGUGGGAUAACAGUCCGAAAGGAUUGCUAAUACCGCAUGUGGUUUUCUGGAUUAGAUGCCAGAUUUCUAAAGGAGAAAUCCGCUCUGGGAGGGGCCUGCGUCCCAUCAGCUAGUUGGUAGGGUAAUGGCCUACCAAGGCUACGACGGGUAAGGGGCCUGAGAGGGUGGCCCCUCACAAUGGAACUGAAACACGGUCCAUACACCUACGGGUGGCAGCAGUAGGGAAUAUUGGGCAAUGGGCGAAAGCCUGACCCAGCAACGCCGCGUGUGCGAUGAAGGUCUUCGGAUCGUAAAGCACUUUUCUGGGAGAUGAGAAAGGACAGUAUCCCAGGAAUAAGCCUCGGCUAACUACGUGCCAGCAGCCGCGGUAAAACGUAGGAGGCAAGCGUUAUCCGGAUUUACUGGGCGUAAAGCGCGUGCAGGCGGUUCGGCAAGUUGGAUGUGAAAGCUCCUGGCUUAACUAGGAGAGGUCGUUCAAUACUACCGAACUAGAGGGCAUCAGAGGAAGGUGGAAUUCCCGGUGUAGUGGUGAAAUGCGUAGAUAUCGGGAGGAACACCAGUGGCGAAGGCGGCCUUCUGGGAUGUUCCUGACGCUCAGACGCGAAGGCUAGGGUAGCAAACGGGAUUAGAGACCCCGGUAGUCCUAGCAGUAAACGAUGUAGACUUGGCGUCGGUGGGUUAAAAACCAUCGGUGUCGAAGCUAACGCGAUAAGUCUACCGCCUGGGGACUACGGCCGCAAGGUUA
rnacentral:rRNA from 1 species